GUGCCUAACACAUGCAAGUCGAACGAGAAAGCGGGGGCAACUCCGUGAGUAAAGUGGCGCACGGGUGAGUAACACGUAGCUAACCUACCCUCGAGCGGGGGAUAACCUGGGGAAACUCGGGCUAAUACCGCAUAACACCCCGGUGAUGCAAAUCGCUGGGGGCAAAGGCCCGCAAGGGUCACUUGAGGAGGGGGCUGCGGCCGAUUAGCUAGUUGGUGAGGUAACGGCCCACCAAGGCGAUGAUCGGUAGCCGGCCUGAGAGGGCGCACGGCCACACUGGCACUGAAACACGGGCCAG
rnacentral:rRNA from 1 species